rnacentral:rRNA from 1 species
UACAGAGGGUGCAAGCGUUGCUCGGAAUCAUUGGGCGUAAAGCGUGUGUAGGCGGCCUUGCAAGUCGGAUGUGAAAGCCCUGGGCUCAACCCAGGAAGUGCACUCGAUACUGCUAGGCUUGAGUACUGGAGAGGUUGGUGGAAUUCUCGGUGUAGAGGUGAAAUUCGUAGAUAUCGAGAGGAACACCGGUGGCGAAGGCGGCCAACUGGACAGAUACUGACGCUGAGACACGAAAGCGUGGGGAGCAAACAGG